UACGUAGGGUGCGAGCGUUAAUCGGAAUUACUGGGCGUAAAGCGUGCGCAGGCGGUUCGCUGUGUCCUGUGUGAAAGCCCCGGGCUUAACCUGGGAAUGGCAUGGGAAACUGGCGAGCUUGAGUGCGGCAGAGGGGGGUGGAAUUCCGCGUGUAGCAGUGAAAUGCGUAGAGAUGCGGAGGAACACCGAUGGCGAAGGCAGCUCGCUGGGACGUUACUGACGCUGAGACGCGAAAGCGUGGGGAGCAAACAGG
rnacentral:rRNA from 1 species